rnacentral:piRNA from 1 species
UGAGAAUGCAUUGCUUCCUGGUUGAUCC